rnacentral:misc_RNA from 1 species
GAUGAAGAACGUAGCGAAAUGCGAUACGUAAUGUGAAUUGCAGAAUUCAGUGAAUCAUCGAAUCUUUGAACGCAUAUUGCGCUCUCUGGUAUUCCGGAGAGCAUGCUUGUUUGAGUAUCAGUAAACACCUCAACUUCCAUAUCUUUUUUGAAAUGGGAGUUGGACUUGAGUGAUCCCAACGCUUUUCCUCACCGAAAAGUGGCGGGUUACUUGAAAUGCAGGUGCAGCUGGACUUUUCUCUGAGCUAUAAGCAUAUUUAUUUAGUCUGCCUAAAAAACAGAUUAUUACCUUUUCUUCAGCUAACAUAAAGGAGAUUAGUUCUUGUGCUGACUGAUGCAGGAUUCACAAAGACAGGCUUCGGCCGACUUUGUAAACUCGAUCUCAAAUCAAGUAAGACUACCCGCUGAACUUAAGCAUAUCAAUAAGCGGAGGA